rnacentral:rRNA from 1 species
UACGGAGGGUGCGAGCGUUGUCCGGAAUCACUGGGCGUAAAGGGCGCGUAGGCGGCCCGUUAAGCGUGUGGUGAAAGCCCGGGGCUCAACUCCGGGUCGGCCAUGCGAACUGGCGGGCUUGAGCACUGUAGAGGCAGGUGGAAUUCCGGGUGUAGCGGUGGAAUGCGUAGAGAUCCGGAAGAACACCGGUGGCGAAGGCGGCCUGCUGGGCAGUAGCUGACGCUGAGGCGCGACAGCGUGGGGAGCAAACAGG